rnacentral:rRNA from 1 species
UACGGGGGGAGCAAGCGUUGUUCGGAUUUACUGGGCGUAAAGGGCGCGUAGGCGGUCGUGACAAGUCACUUGUGAAAUCUCCGGGCUUAACUCGGAACGGUCAAGUGAUACUGUCGUGCUAGAGUACAGAAGGGGCAACUGGAAUUCUCGGUGUAGCGGUGAAAUGCGUAGAUAUCAAGAGGAACACCUGAGGUGAAGACGGGCUGCUGGGCUGACACUGACGCUGAGGCGCGAAA